GAUGAACGCUGGCGGCGUGCUUAACACAUGCAAGUCGAACGGAAAGGCUCCUGCUUGCAGUGGUACUCGAGUGGCGAACGGGUGAGUAACACGUGGGUGAUCUGCCCUGCACUUCGGGAUAAGCCUGGGAAACUGGGUCUAAUACCGGAUAGGACGAUGGUUUGGAUGCCAUUGUGGAAAGUUUUUCGGUGUGGGAUGAGCUCGCGGCCUAUCAGCUUGUUGGUGGGGUAAUGGCCUACCAAGGCGUCGACGGGUAGCCGGCCUGAGAGGGUGUACGGCCACAUUGGGACUGAGAUACGGCCCAGACUCCUACGGGAGGCAGCAGUGGGGAAUAUUGCACAAUGGGCGCAAGCCUGAUGCAGCGACGCCGCGUGGGGGAUGACGGCCUUCGGGUUGUAAACUACUUUCGCUAGGGACGAAGCGCAAGUGACGGUACCUGGAGAAGAAGCACCGGCUAACUACGUG
rnacentral:rRNA from 1 species